UAGGGAAUAUUGCACAAUGGGCGAAAGCCUGAUGCAGCAACGCCGCGUGUGCGAUGAAGGCCUUCGGGUCGUAAAGCACUUUUCUGGGAGAUGAGAAAGGACAGUAUCCCAGGAAUAAGUCUCGGCUAACUACGUGCCAGCAGCCGCGGUAAAACGUAGGAGGCGAGCGUUAUCCGGAUUCACUGGGUGUAAAGCGCGUGCAGGCGGUUCGGUAAGUUGGGCGUGAAAUCUCCUGGCUCAACUAGGAGAGGUCGUCCAAUACUACAGGGCUGGAGAGCGGUAGAGGAAGAUGGAAUUCCCGGUGUAGUGGUGAAAUGCGUAGAUAUCGGGAGGAACACCAGUGGCGAAGGCGAUCUUCUGGACCGUUUCUGACGCUCAGACGCGACAGCUAGGGUAGCAAACGGG
rnacentral:rRNA from 1 species